GACGAACGCUGGCGGCGUGCUUAACACAUGCAAGUCGAGCGGAGCGGCGAACGGGUGAGUAACGCGUGAGUAACUGCCCCCCUCUCUGGGAUAACAGUUGGAAACGGCUGCUAAUACCGGAUAGUGGGGGAUGACUCGCGUCCUAUCAGCUUGGGGGUGGGGUAGUGGCCUACCAAGGCGUCGACGGGUAGCCGGCCUGAGAGGGCGACCGGCCAAAGUGGGCUGGGAUACGGCCGAAAGUCCGACGGGAAGCAGAAGUGGGGAAUGGUGGACAAGGGGGGACACACUGAUGCAGCAAGGCGCGUGCGGUAGGAGGGCGUUCGGGUUAUAAACCGCUUGCAGCCAUGACGCGGGAGUAGCAGAAGAAGGACGGGCUAACGACGUGCCAGUAGCCGCGGUAAGAC
rnacentral:rRNA from 1 species